rnacentral:miRNA from 1 species
UGCAUAUUUUGGUAAGAAGAUAUUAACAAAAGUUGUUCGUCUUGAUGAGGGCUACAACUUUGGUUAAUAUCGUCUUUUCAAAUUAUGCUUAUUUAAGGAGAUAGGUCUGCGCAUGCGCAGUACGUAACUCCUUACGCUUGCAUAUUUUGGUAAGAAGAUAUUAACAAAAGUUGUUCGUCUUGUUCAGGGCUACAACUUUGCUUAAUAUCGUCUUACCAAAUUAUGCU